ACUGCUUAGCAACCUGCUCGGGACCCCUCUCUGUGACUGUGAGCUGUUCUGUUCUUUUGCCUAUUAAACUCCUGCUCCAAACUCACUCGAUGUGUGUGUGCAUGUCCUUGACCUCAAUAUCUGGUCGUGUGACCAAGAACCUCAGUAUUCACCCCAGACAACAAGGCUGCUUCAUUUUGAGGGCUCGUCUGGGAUUUGAAGGUGACUUCAUCAGAAUGCUUUGCUGCUAAAGGGAUCUGCAGUCCAGCUGAAAACCUGCCCUUGCCUGAGCCCAGCCACUUUCUCCCAGAGAAAACUGGAGAACCUAAACAUGAUUGUGAACAGAAACCAUCAAGCUUCAGAUGGUGCUGAAAAUGGAGCCGAAAAUGAAACUGCCCUCCUACGAGGGACCCUUAAAUCAACCCCAGGAGGAGCCCUAGCUGCUGUUCCCCACACAACGCCACUCUCCAGCAGGAAGUAGCCAGAAGAAAUCGUCACCCAGUUUCCCCUAGCAGCAGCGCAGUAAGAUUGAGGAGCUAAAAACAGACUUGGGUGGAUGUCUGCAGCUGCAAGAAGAUGUGUGGGAACAGACACAGAAACUCUCCCUCCCAGAUAAGCAAGACAAAGAAACACAGAAUAAGAGUCCAUCUAUGUGGUCAGAGAAUGGGAUAAGAGCUGAUUUAAAAAAACUCUGCUCUAUAUAGAAGGCACACCUGGUCCCAACCAAACCACUGGACCCUAGGAGGAUAAGACCUCCUCUGCUCAUGAGCCCCCUCCUCAGUAGCCCAUUUAUAAAAACCCUGACAAUUUUACUACCACUUGGCAACCCGCUCGGGACCCCUCUCUGUGAUGGAGAGCUGUUCUUUUCUUUUGCCUAUUAAACUCCUGCUCCAAAC
rnacentral:lncRNA from 1 species